GGUUCGGAGGUCUAGGGGUAUGAUUCUCGCUUCGGGUGCGAGAGGUCCCGGGUUCAAAUCCCGGCUGAACCC
rnacentral:tRNA from 13 species